GACGCAACGCGAAGAACCUUACCAAGGCUUGACAUAUGCCGGAAACAUCCAGAGAUGGGUGCCCCCUUGUGGUCGGUAUACAGGUGGUGCAUGGUUGUCGUCAGCUCGUGUCGUGAGAUGUUGGGUUAAGUCCCGCAACGAGCGCAACCCUUGUUCUGUGUUGCCAGCGAGUAAUGUCGGGGACUCACAGGAGACUGCCGGGGUCAACUCGGAGGAAGGUGGGGACGACGUCAAAUCAUCAUGCCCCUUAUGUCUUGGGCUGCACACGUGCUACAAUGGUCGGUACAAAGGGCUGCGAUGCCGUGAGGCGGAGCGAAUCCCAAAAAGCCGGC
rnacentral:rRNA from 1 species